rnacentral:rRNA from 1 species
UGGGGAAUAUUGCACAAUGGGCGCAAGCCUGAUGCAGCCAUGCCGCGUGUGUGAAGAAGGCCUUCGGGUUGUAAAGCACUUUCAGCGAGGAGGAAGGUGGUGAACUUAAUACGUUCAUCAAUUGACGUUACUCGCAGAAGAAGCACCGGCUAACUCCGUGCCAGCAGCCGCGGUAAUACGGAGGGUGCAAGCGUUAAUCGGAAUUACUGGGCGUAAAGCGCACGCAGGCGGUUUGUUAAGUCAGAUGUGAAAUCCCCGGGCUCAACCUGGGAACUGCAUUUGAAACUGGCAAGCUAGAGUCUCGUAGAGGGGGGUAGAAUUCCAGGUGUAGCGGUGAAAUGCGUAGAGAUCUGGAGGAAUACCGGUGGCGAAGGCGGCCCCCUGGACGAAGACUGACGCUCAGGUGCGAAAAGCGUGGGGAGCAAAACAGGAUUAGAUACCCUGGUAGUCCACGCUGUAAAACGAUGUCGAUUUUGGAGGUUGUGCCCUUGAGACGUGGCUUCCGGAGCUAACGCGUUAAAUCGACCGCCUGGGGAGUACGGCCGCAAGGUUAAAAACUC